AUUACGAUUAUGUGCCUGUUUCUCUCUCUUCCUCUGUCUCCAUUAUUUUAUGUAUAUGAACAACCAUCCCAACACAGAAGAGGCCGAGGAGGUUGGGAAGGGAGAAAGGAAAGGGUGUUUAGGGCUGCGUAAGAAAGCGUGAGGCUCAGAUUUACUGGGUAAGAGAGUGAGAGGAGGGGUGAGAUGGUCAUGUCCAACUGCUGCGCUAGGUUCCUGGGAGGAAAUUUUGCGGCUUCAUGUCUUCUUCCUCCUCCUCCUCUGUUUCAUUCGCCUCCUCCUCCUUCGACUUCCUGCUCAUCCUCCUUCGAGAGGACUCAAAAGAAAGUGAAUCAGCUCCUCUUUGUCAUCAUCACCGCUCUUGAUGGCAGCAGGGAUGUCGUCCCCCUCAUCUUCAGAUUCCGUCCCAACUUCGUGAGGCAGCUGAGCAUCCAGUCUAGGCACAACUGCUGCAACAUCGGCGCCGGCGGUGAUGGCGUGGUGGUGACGGCAAGGUGGCAGUCGCAGAGCCGAUGGGCGAUAGGGAGGACAAGCUGACGGGUGACGGGAGGACCGGAGGAGGCGUUCGCCGACGGGGAGAAUGAAAGUAUAGAAUGAAGAACUUUUCACGAUCAUCACCGGCUAUGUCCAAAGUACCAGAAAGAAAUGUUGGUGAUUAGAAAAUCACACUACUUGGACUGAGAUUUUCCAUUGGUCGCUUGGCCAGUUGGCCGGACACAUCAACAGCAUGAACCGGUUGAACAAGAGUUUCAUCAUGCUUUUCCAGGAUGCAGACAGUAGUUUCUUCCAUUCAAUUUUUUCCCAUUGUUUCUCUCUAAAAUCUGGUGGAUCGCUCCUUGCCUCAUUACUCAUCUGGAAGAAAGAAGAGAAUAUCAAGUUCUGAUACCUCUUUGAUAGAAAGAAACGAAUCUCAAGUUCUGAUGCCACUUUGAUAGAAAGGAGAGAAUCUCAAGUUCUGAUGCUACUCUGAUGCAGUGAUUACAAACUCUAAUAGUCAUGGAAUCGCAAACCAAAAAAAAUUAAAAACCAAGUGCUCUUAAAUAGGGCUUCCUGCUCCAAGGUCGACCUAAUUAACCCGCCACCUUUCAUCUGUUUCAUCUUCGUAAAAUAAUCCUGUUAACAGCCCAAUUCUUGUUUGUUACUUUCCAAGAAAAAAAAAUGAAAGGAAAACUUUGCUGUUCUUAAAGUUUUCGUACUGAUUCAGCUUCUAAGAACAGAUGUUCGAUAGGAGUUGCUUUUAUCCACUGUUUUCCAUUGUAAAUUGAUCAAAUGCUGUUGAGAUAAUUGGAAGAUCAAUGUGAAAGGCCGACAUAAACUGUUCCUUGCUUCAUAAUGAAUUUAAGUCUGCAGAAUCGGAUUUGAAGUUGAGGUUAUGACCAAAAAAUUUAAAAAGUUUAUCUAUUUCACAAUUACGGAUAAAUGGUGGAUUGGUCAGCGUGAAACGUUGUUAGGUCCACUACUUGAAAAAGGAAGGAUGUAGGAGACUCGUUCUUUGGCUUCUUCCUUAUACGUGUUUCCCCUGAUCUUCCCUUUACAUGUCGUGUGUGCAUUGGCAGAUGCAUUUGCUCUGUCUCUUUCUCUUCUACUCCCACCAGCCACAUUCUUGUACCCCUUGCGUUUUCAUAAUCAUGGUUUUCGGAUAUUUCUUUUAUUUAUUGCAUCUUUUAAUUCGCAUUUGUGCACCAGAUAAAUGUCUCACUAGUAUGCGGAUAUCAGCUAAUUAUAAGUGUUCCCCCAAAUAUGAGCUGAUUUUUUGCCAAUGGGGUAGGGGUUGA